AUGAAGGGUGACAGAAUUAUCAUUGCACAGGAGAGUCUGGAUGUAGCCAUCGAGAGGUUGAAGGGGCAGGUUAUUACAUCUAAGAAUCUCUCUCAAACACAAACUCUGAAGAAUGUGGCGAUACAUGAGUGUGCCCGCAAUUUUAUAUCUUCUACUGUUCCUCUUGAUGGAAUUGGAGUGGAAUUCGAUGAUGGUUGGCUGCUUAAGGAUAUCAAGAGGACAGUGCAUGAGCUUGUUGCCCUUCCAACAUGGAUACCGGAGCAUUUUUCUCAUGUCAAGUUAUUAAGGGUAAAUGUUGCUUUUCUGCUGGAUUUAACGGCCUCUAUGUGCCUGGACCCUCCUAAGCCCUACAAAGGUGUUUUGGUUUUUGGGCCUCCUGGCACAGGAAAAACACUCUUGGAAGAGGCACUCACAACAGAAGUUGAGACAAAAUUUAUCAGCGGUUCUACACUGACAUCAGAGGUGAUAAGAACCCAGCAGGACAAUGAACUUAAAGAGGCAGCGCUAUGGGCUUAUCACAAAGAAGAACAACAAAUAAAAUCGUUUGGAAAGCAGCAUGAAGCAAGGAGACAAGAUAGAAGAAUCACAAAAUGUUGGAGGAGUGCCGUCGAGUCUGCAGAGCAAGAUACUGUGUGGCCGCACACUACUGCUGACAGUGACGUUGCAAAAGUUAGAAAGAGUCCAGGAAACAGUGCAACAAUUGUUAUAGAUGAAGAUGAUUUGCCAGCAACCCGUCGGAGCUAUAGAAGAGGAAUAAGAAGGAUGCGUUCAUGGUGUCGUGCCAAUGGAAUGCAGAAAGAUAUUUCUUCAAUUCUUGGAGAGGGCUUCGAAGUUUACACGACACCAGCGGACGGCACAUUUCACCUCACAUUUGUGUGCAAGAAGAACUGGAUAACAUUCUUUUUCUAUGGAAGGAAUUUGUACAUGAAGGGGUGGAAUGGGCCGUUUGGUAUCUUCGAAAUACAGUCAGAUGCACAUGUAGGGCCGAACUACAUCCCUGACCCGUCAUGCACGGUUUUGAAGACUGGUGAAAGCUAUAACGAUCUUUGCACAAGAGGAAAAGUAGGCAGUGUGAGAAUCGGUCCUCAUGUGCUGAUAGAUUACUUGGAGGUUUUGUGCAAGUGCAGAGGGAUCAUAUCCAAUGAGCUUUUAUCUGCGAUAGCUACUUAUAUUGUCAGCACAGCAGAAGCAGUCCGUCUCGAAGAUGUUUUUAAGGAAGUUGAUGAGUCGUUCAGUAAUUAUCAUCUUCAUAAUCUGAACAGCAGAAGUGACCUUGGGUUCCAAGUCAGGUCAUAUGGGCACUAUUCAACUGAGAUUCUGCAGUAUGUGGAUUUCGUUCUAAGAGGAGAGCCACCUGAGGAGAUAGUCAACCGUGGCACUGGAAAUUACAAGACACUGAAGGAGUUGGUCGAGAAAAUCAAAGUGCCGCUACGUGACUCCUACAUAGAGGGAAUAUUUCAGCAUGAGCCAAAGCCCGAAUCAGUGGUUUGGUGUCCCCCAAUUCUGGGCUCUAUAGGAGAAGAAGAGAUGGAUGAGGAAGAAGAUGAGCUGCAAGAUGAUGCUGAUUCAGGGCAUGGAAGAUAA
rnacentral:rRNA from 1 species